AACGAACGCUGGCGGCAGGCCUAACACAUGCAAGUCGAACGCUGUAGCAAUACAGAGUGGCAGACGGGUGAGUAACGCGUGGGAACCUUCCCAAUGGUACGGAAUAGCUCAGGGAAACUUGAGGUAAUACCGUAUAAGCCCCUAGGGGGAAAGAUUUAUCGCCAUUGGAUGGGCCCGCGUCGGAUUAGCUAGUUGGUGGGGUAAUGGCCUACCAAGGCGACGAUCCGUAGCUGGUUUGAGCGAAUGACCAGCCACAAUGGGACUGAGACACGGCCCAGACUCCUACGGGAGGCAGCAGUGGGGAAUCUUGGACAAUGGGCGCAAGCCUGAUCCAGCCAUGCCGCGUGAGUGACGAAGGCCUUAGGGUUGUAAAGCUCUUUUGCCGGGGACGAUAAUGACGGUACCCGGAGAAUAAGUCCCGGCUAACUUCGUGCCAGCCGCCGCAGUAA
rnacentral:rRNA from 1 species